rnacentral:rRNA from 1 species
UACGUAGGGGGCUAGCGUUGUCCGGAAUCAUUGGGCGUAAAGAGCGUGUAGGCGGCUCGGUAAGUCCGCUGUGAAAGUCCAGGGCUCAACCCUGGAAUGCCAGUGGAAACUGUCGAGCUAGAGUCCGGAAGAGGCGAGUGGAAUUCCUGGUGUAGCGGUGGAAUGCGCAGAUAUCAGGAGGAACACCGAUGGCGAAGGCAGAUCUCUGGGCCGUAACUGACGCUGAGGAGCGAAAGCGUGGGGAGCGAACAGG